rnacentral:rRNA from 1 species
UACGUAGGGGGCGAGCGUUGUCCGGAUUUAUUGGGCGUAAAGGGCGCGUAGGCGGCCACGCACGUCCGUUGUGAAAUCGCCCGGCUCAACUGGGCGGGGUCAGCGGAUACGGUGUGGCUCGAGCAAGCUAGGGGGCAAUGGAAUUCCCGGUGUAGUGGUGGAAUGCGUAGAUAUCGGGAGGAACACCAGUGGCGAAGGGCGGUUGCCUGGAGCUUUGCUGACGCUGAGGCGCGAAAGCGUGGGGAGCGAUCCGG